GUCCAGAGUGAAAUCGCCUUCCCUAACCAGCGAGAACUGGACUGUGUUAACUUCAGCGAGCAGCUUAGCUACUGGACUCUGAAAUGGAAAUAGUAUUCGUUCUCUUUGCCUAAUGAGAUUGUUAUGGAAGUCUGCCUCCAGAGGUUAGAGCAGAGGCAUGCCCAGCACAUGCUGGGCAGUGUGAGCCAAGAGCUCAAUUCCUGAAUAUUGGGGCCUUGUGGGAGCACCAACCUCCGGAGCCACCAUCUUUCCUCUCCAAGCAAGAGCCCAACCUUCCUAUCUAUGGCUUGUUGCCUGCCUUGACAGAGAGAGGGGUGAGAAGUUGAAGACAUUUCUCCUGACAGGCCUCUACAAAUGGAGAGAGUCAUCUUUCUGUGUAUGUACACUUCUGUUAGGAAACAUUUUCAAGACUAAAUUAUAAUAGGAAAUCAAGGGUCCCCAGAAGGUACAGUAAUGCACAGUGAUGAGGACAAAGACAAAGAGUUGCCUGAAUCUUCCCAAGAGCACUCACAUAGAUUAUGGUGGAGUUGAGGUGAGAGCCUUGGCCCAAGGGGACAAAGCUACUUCCUCACUGAACUUCAAGUCCUGCCCCAAAGGGUAGUAACUACAAAAGAUACUAGAAGGAAGAGGAAGGGGAA